rfam:Mus musculus chromosome 8, GRC primary reference assembly.
GCCGGGUGUGGUGGUGCACACCUUUAAUCCCAGCACUUGGGAGGCAGAGGCAGGUGGAUUUCUGAGUUUGAGGCCAGCCUGGUCUACAGAGUGAGUUCCAGAACAGCCAGGGCUACACAGAGAGACCCUGUCUCAAAAAAAAAAAUUUCUUUGUGUAGCCCUGGCUGUCUUGAAACUAGCUCUGUAGACCACGUUGGCCUUGAAGUCACAGAGAUCCAACUGCCUCUG